rnacentral:misc_RNA from 1 species
AUACAUAUUUAGAAAGGCUUUCAUAAUCCAUCACAUCAAGCUGAAUAGCUGUUGCAUUUUGAAUACCUUCAAUUGUCUCAUUGGCAUCCUUUUGGUAAAGAGAUGCCACAAUAACUUGAAACUCUUCGAUUUCUUCAGCAUUGGCUCCUCGUAAUGUAUUGAAAGAAUCACAAGACAUUUUUCCUAUUGAUGCUAAAAGUUUAGCAGCUGGACGGCAAACACGACCUGCACCAAGAAUCAAAACUGCUCG